GCCCGGGUGGUGGAACGGCAGACACAGGGGACUUAAAAUCCCCUUCCCGCAAGGGAGUGCAGGUUCGACCCCUGCCCCGGGCACCA
rnacentral:tRNA from 1 species